ACAGUAUUCGGCACAGUUCAGCACAUCUGGGCACCCUUCUAAUCGACAGUUUAUUUUUCUUUCCGCUGAUUGGAUUUGACAGCUGAAACUUUGUUUUUACUAACCACAUCAAAUGGUCGUGCGGCUCAACCAGAUUGUUGUUAUCCCGAAUUUGUUUGGUAUACAUAAUCGCACCUCGUGGUAACCCGCUCAAACAUAUCCACGACGGGAACCGAAACAUCGUGAUCACCGAGAUUCCAAACGGAGGUACAUAUUUCAAAGUGGUCCUACCCAACAUCUUGUCGGAUUUGAUUGUGACCAACUACUGAAGAGGACCUGGAAGAGGAACAAGUUUCGAAAUCUCUGCCAAGGAAUGCUGGGAAUAUACCUGAUCGAAAUGGUCAAGUGGUACUCGCAUGGAAUCCAGUACAUGGCCGUAAAAGGCAAACAUCAAAAAGAUUAAAGAUAGAUCGUUGACAUCAACUCUUCGAGACUGAAGCGGGAAGGUAAAUUGAUCACCCUUGGCAGAGAUUCCGACCAAGGUAGGACAGCUGAAGAAAAUGAAGAGGAACCUGUGAAGGAUUUCAAUGAUGAAAAUAAAACUAAAAAUAAAGAUGAAUAAUUUAUAAACUA